UUUUAUUUUCUUUUGUUUUUUUUCCUUCCCUUCCUUUUGCCACGUGUCGAGGAGAGGGAGAGAAGGAAAAAGAAAGAGGGGGAGAGAAGAAGAUCUUAUGGUUUGGAUAAAGAUUCCAAAACAAAGAUCAAUAGUUGGAA
rnacentral:ribozyme from 13 species